CCUAAAUUAAAUUAAAAAUAUCCCUCUCCAUCUCCCCUCCCCUCCCCCAACGGGCAUCUCCAUCUCCAUCUCUCAAUUGGCAGAAUCGACUCGUGUUUUCCCCACACCAAGAGUCAUAGCCCUGGCAGAUUUCACGCCGCCGGCCUGCUUGCCCGGAGAAGAAAGCCGAGGAUGUGGCUGUCUCGGAGUUUGGUCCCCGCCGCGGCUGCUACUCGCCGUCAUCAGACGCCGCCGUCUCCUGCAGCAGGUCGCUGGUCCGGAUUCGUGGGCAGCGUCGCGUGGCUGCUGACUCGCGGCCUUGCCUCCGCCGCCAACUGCGUGAACCCGUCCCCGUCCGCCCUUCCAUCCUGAGCAAAGUGGGGACUUAUCAAGAUCAAUGGGCAUCCCAACUUUCAAUCGAACUAUGGCCUUCCUGAAAUCCACACAGAUAGACUACAAUGCCACGGGCUUACACUGGUGUUGGGAAAUGAAGCUUUGGAAAUCAUAGAAUAUGCUUUUUCAAAAGAUAGGUUGUGAAGACUUUUGACUUCAGCCUCACUGGUGCCUCUUCAAGAUCUUGUAAAUAUGUCAUGAAUACUAUGAUGCUGACUUUUAAGAACAAGAGGCUUGCUUAUGCAGUUAAGGAGAGUACUCUUGAUAGUCUCAUCAUGGAACUAUUGCUCCAGCUUUUGGAUGAUAGUAAUCCCCAAUGGUGGAUGAUGGAAGUCAACUUUUAAGAGCUUCGAAUGUUCAGAUGUUAAAGAUUCUGGAUAACGUAGAAUGUAUUUCAUCAUUUCCUGUGCUUAUAUAUCUGUCAAGACCUGGAUCAAUCAAGAUGGCCAUCUCCAUCAAAUGAUCUCUUGAAAUCAGAAACCAGAAGUUCUCUGAUUUGGUUGUUAAAUGUUUGAUCAUGCUCACUAAGGUCUGAGCAGGUUAAGGAGCCAAGACCAGAAGCUGUUCCUUAGGCUGUGGGUUCUGUACCCACUUAAGAGUGUAGCUGAUGAAAGCUUCAAAAUGGUGGGAGAGGAAAGAGGCUGUUGCUGAGCUAGCCGAACUUGCUUCAACCAAAAAGAUUUCUCUUGGAGAUUUUUUCAGAAAGUUUGUCAUACAUUAAAGAAGGUUAUCACUCAUGUAAAUGUUACUGAAGGAAGGAAAAAAAAGGAAAAAAAAGAAAAAAACAUUGUUGUUGCAGCUGAAGCUAUUCAAGUGCUGGGCAUUCUUCCUAAGGGCAUGAGAACCCUUCCUAAAAAAAAGAAAAAAAGAACAAAUAGAAAAAAAAGGAAAAAAAAAUGAAAAAAGCAAAAAAAGAAAAAAAAGGAAAAAAUAAUUGUUGAUGCAUUUAAAGCUAUUCAAGCAUUGGGCAACUUUGCUGGGGAUCCGAGAGCCCAUUUUUUGGCCAGUUGUCGCUUCUUAUAUGCCUGUAAACCGCACCUCAGGACCUUGUCGAUCUAGUUGAUAUAUUAAAGCCUACUUAGGAGAAGUCUGGAUUUUGGGAAGCGGUGAAAGCUUCAGAAUGGCGUGAGAGGAAAGAAGUUGUUGCUGAACUAACCGAACUUGCUUCCACCAAAAAGAUUUCUCUUCGAGAUUUUUUCAGAAUGUCUGUCAUACAUUAAAUAAGGUUAUCACGAAUGUAAAUGUUACUGAAGGAAGGAAGAAAAAGGAAAAAAACAUUGUUGUUGCAGCUGAAGCUAUUCAAGCGCUGGGCAACCUUCCUAAUGGCCUGAGAACCCUUCUAAAAAAAGAGAAAAAAGGAAAAAAAAAAGAAAAAAAAGGAAAAAAGGGAAAAAGAGAAAAAAAAUAAUUGCUACUGCGUAUAAAGUUAUUCAAGCAUUGGGCAACAUUGCUAGACUUUUCAGAGCAAGAGCCUUGCUUAUGCAGUUAAGGAAUGUACUCUUCUCAUCAAGGAACUGUUACUCUGGCUUUUGGAUGAUAGGCUUCCGGAGAUGGAUGAUGGAUGUCAAAUUUUAACUGCUUUGAAUGUUCUGAUGUUAAAAAUUCUGGAUAACGCAGAAUAUACGUCAUCAUUUCCUAGGCUUAUAAAUCUGUAAAGACCUCUGGAUCCAUCAAGAUGUCCAUCUUCAGAUCAGAAAUCUUUAAAUGUUUGAUCAUGCUCCAAAGGAAUCUGCAACUCCAAAGUAGGUUGUUAAAGUAACUUAUUCUACAUCAUCUGUGGUGACUGGUGGCAUAGAUGGACUUCCACGUGAAGAUAUAAGUGAAAAGAUCACCCCCACUUUGUUAAAAGACUUAUAGAGUCCUGAUUGGAAGGUCCACUUGGAGUCUAUUGAAAAUGUAACCAAAAUUCUAGAAGAGGUGAACUGGAACUGGAGAUCUAUUUGGAGCUCUAUAAGGGCGUCUACACAACAGUUCUAAAAUUUGAUAAGUGCUACUUUGUCCAUAAUUGGUACUCUUGGGACUAUAAUGGGAUAUCCAGUUGAGAAGUAAAGCUAGGUCUGAGCAGGUUAAGGAGCCAAGACCAGAAGCUGUUCCUUAGGCUGUGGGUUCUGUACCCACUUAAGAGUGUAGCUGAUGAAAGCUUCAAAAUGGUGGGAGAGGAAAGAGGCUGUUGCUGAACUAGCCGAACUUGCUUCAACCAAAAAGAUUUCUCUUGGAGAUUUUUUCAGAAAGUUUGUCAUACAUUAAAGAAGGUUAUCACUCAUGUAAAUGUUACUGAAGGAAGGAAAAAAAAGGAAAAAAAAGAAAAAAACAUUGUUGUUGCAGCUGAAGCUAUUCAAGUGCUGGGCAUUCUUCCUAAGGGCAUGACAACCCUUCCUAAAAAAAAGAAAAAAAGAACAAAUAGAAAAAAAGGAAAAAAAAAUGAAAAAAGCAAAAAAAGAAAAAAAGGAAAAAAUAAUUGUUGAUGCAUUUAAAGCUAUUCAAGCAUUGGGCAACUUUGCUGGGGAUCCGAGAGCCCAUUUUUUGGCCAGUUGUCGCUUCUUAUAUGCCUGUAAACCGCACCUCAGGACCUUGUCGAUCCAGUUGAUAUAUUAAAGCCUACUUAGGAGAAGUCUGGAUUUUGGGAAGCGGUGAAAGCUUCAGAAUGGCGUGAGAGGAAAGAAGUUGUUGCUGAACUAACCGAACUUGCUUCCACCAAAAAGAUUUCUCUUGGAGAUUUUUUCAGAAUGUCUGUCAUACAUUAAAUAAGAAUAUAUUGUUGGAGAUUUUUGCAGGUUAUCACGAAUGUAAAUGUUACUGAAGGAAGGAAGAAAAAGGAAAAAACAUUGUUGUUGCAGCUGAAGCUAUUCAAGCGCUGGGCAACCUUCCUAAUGGCCUGAGAACCCUUCUAAAAAAAGAGAAAAAAGGAAAAAAAAAAGAAAAAAAAGGAAAAAAGGGAAAAAGAGAAAAAAAAUAAUUGCUACUGCGUAUAAAGUUAUUCAAGCAUUGGGCAACAUUGCUAGACUUUUCAGAGCAAGAGCCUUGCUUAUGCAGUUAAGGAAUGUACUCUGAUAGUCUCAUCAAGGAACUGUUACUCUGGCUUUUGGAUGAUAGGCUUCCGGAGAUGGAUGAUGGAUGUCAAAUUUUAACUGCUUUGAAUGUUCUGAUGUUAAAAAUUCUGGAUAACGCAGAAUAUACGUCAUCAUUUCCUAGGCUUAUAAAUCUGUAAAGACCUCUGGAUCCAUCAAGAUGUCCAUCUUCAGAUCAGAAAUCUUUAAAUGUUUGAUCAUGCUCCAAAGGAAUCUGCAACUCCAAAGUAGGUUGUUAAAGUAACUUAUUCUACAUCAUCUGUGGUGACUGGUGGCAUAGAUGGACUUCCACGUGAAGAUAUAAGUGAAAAGAUCACCCCCACUUUGUUAAAAGACUUAUAGAGUCCUGAUUGGAAGGUCCACUUGGAGUCUAUUGAAAAUGUAACCAAAAUUCUAGAAGAGGUGAACUGGAACUGGAGAUCUAUUUGGAGCUCUAUAAGGGCGUCUACACGACAGUUCUAAAAUUUGAUAAGUGCUACUUUGUCCAUAAUUGGUACUCUUGGGACUAUAAUGGGAUAUCCAGUUGAGAAGUAAAGCUAGGUCUGAGCAGGUUAAGGAGCCAAGACCAGAAGCUGUUCCUUAGGCUGUGGGUUCUGUACCCACUUAAGAGUGUAGCUGAUGAAAGCUUCAAAAUGGUGGGAGAGGAAAGAGGCUGUUGCUGAACUAGCCGAACUUGCUUCAACCAAAAAGAUUUCUCUUGGAGAUUUUUUCAGAAAGUUUGUCAUACAUUAAAGAAGGUUAUCACGCAUGUAAAUGUUACUGAAGGAAGGAAAAAAAAGGAAAAAAAGAAAAAAACAUUGUUGUUGCAGCUGAAGAUAUUCAAGUGCUGGGCAACCUUCCUAAGGGCAUGAGAACCCUUCCUAAAAAAAAGAAAAAAAAGAACAAAAAGAAAAAAAAGGAAAAAAAAUGAAAAAAACAAAAAAAGAAAAAAAAGGAAAAAAUAAUUGUUGAUGCAUUUAAAGCUAUUCAAGCACUGGGCAACUUUGCUGGGGAUCCGAGAGCCCAUUUUUUGGCCAGUUGUCGCUUCUUAUUUGCCUGUAAACCGCACCUCAGGACCUUGUCGAUCCAGUUGAUAUAUUAAAGCCUACUUAGGAGAAGUCUGGAUUUUGGGAAGCGGUGAAAGCUUCAGAAUGGCGUGAGAGGAAAGAAGCUGUUGCUGAACUAACCGAACUUGCUUCCACCAAAAAGAUUUCUCUUGGAGAUUUUUUCAGAAUGUUUGUCAUACAUUAAAGAAGGUUAUCACGAAUGUAAAUGUUACUGAAGGAAGGAAGAAAAAGGAAAAAACAUUGUUGUUGCAGCUGAAGCUAUUCAAGCGCUGGGCAACCUUCCUAAUGGCCUGAGAACCCUUCUAAAAAAAGAGAAAAUAGGAAAAAAAAAAAGAAAAAAAAGGAAAAAAAAGGGAGAAAGAGAAAAAAUAAUUGCUACUGCGUAUAAAGCUAUUCAAGCAUUGGGCAACAUUGCAAGACUUUUCAGAGCAAGAGCCUUGCUUAUGCAGUUAAGGAAUGUACUCUUCUCAUCAAGGAACUGUUACUCUGGCUUUUGGAUGAUAGGCUUCCGGAGAUGGAUGAUGGAAGUCAAAUUUUAACUGCUUUGAAUGUUCAGAUGUUAAAAAUUCUGGAUAACGCAGAAUAUACGUCAUCAUUUCCUGGGCUUAUAAAUCUGUAAAGACCUCUGGAUCCAUCAAGAUGUCCAUCUUCAGAUCAGAAAUCUUUAAAUGUUUGAUCAUGCUCCAAAGGAAUAUGCAACUCCAAAGAAGGUUGUUAAAGUAACUUAUUCUACAUCAUCUGUGGUGACUGGUGGCAUAGAUGGACUUCCACGUGAAGAUAUAAGUGAAAAGAUCACCCCCACAUUGUUAAAUGACUUAUAGAGUCCUGAUUGGAAGGUCCACUUGGAGUCUAUUGAAAAUGUAACCAAAAUUCUAGAAGAGGUGAACUGGAACUGGAGAUCUAUUUGGAGCUCUAUAAGGGCGUCUACACAACAGUUCUAAAAUUUGAUAAGUGCUACUUUGUCCAUAAUUGGUACUUUUGGGACUAUAAUGGGAUAUCCAGUUGAGAAGUCAAGCUAGGUCUGAGCAGGUUAAGGAGCCAAGACCAGAAGCUGUUCCUUUGGCUGUGGGUUCUGUACCCACUUAAGAGUGUAGCUGAUGAAAGCUUCAAAAUGGUGGGAGAGGAAAGAGGCUGUUGCUGAACUAGCCGAACUUGCUUCAACCAAAAAGAUUUCUCUUGGAGAUUUUUUCAGAAAGUUUGUCAUACAUUAAAGAAGGUUAUCACGCAUGUAAAUGUUACUGACGGAAGGAAAAAAAAGGAAAAAAAGAAAAAAACAUUGUUGUUGCAGCUGAAGCUAUUCAAGUGCUGGGCAACCUUCCUAAGAGCAUGAGAACCCUUCCUAAAAAUAGAAAAAAAAGAACAAAAAGAAAAAAAAGGAAAAAAAAUGAAAAAAGCAAAAAAAGAAAAAAAAGGAAAAAAUAAUUGUUGAUGCAAUUCAAGCACUGGGCAACUUUGCUGGGGAUCCGAGAGCCCAUUUUUUGGCCAGUUGUCGCUUCUUAUUUGCCUGUAAACCGCACCUCAGGACCUUGUCGAUCCAGUUGAUAUAUUAAAGCCUACUUAGGAGAAGUCUGGAUUUUGGGAAGCGGUGAAAGCUUCAGAAUGGCGUGAGAGGAAAGAAGCUGUUGCUGAACUAACCGAACUUGCUUCCACCAAAAAGAUUUCUCUUGGAGAUUUUUUCAGAAUGUUUGUCAUACAUUAAAGAAGGUUAUCACGAAUGUAAAUGUUACUGAAGGAAGGAAGAAAAAGGAAAAAACAUUGUUGUUGCAGCUGAAGCUAUUCAAGCGCUGGGCAACCUUCCUAAUGGCCUGAGAACCCUUCUAAAAAAAGAGAAAAUAGGAAAAAAAAAAGAAAAAAAAGGAAAAAAAAGGGAGAAAGAGAAAAAAUAAUUGCUACUGCGUAUAAAGCUAUUAAAGCAUUGGGCAACAUUGCAAGACUUUUCAGAGCAAGAGCCUUGCUUAUGCAGUUAAGGAAUGUACUCUUCUCAUCAAGGAACUGUUACUCUGGCUUUUGGAUGAUAGGCUUCCGGAGAUGGAUGAUGGAAGUCAAAUUUUAACUGCUUUGAAUGUUCUGAUUUUAAAAAUUCUGGAUAACGCAGAAUAUACGUCAUCAUUUCCUGGGCUUAUAAAUCUGUAAAGACCUCUGGAUCCAUCAAGAUGUCCAUCUUCAGAUCAGAAAUCUUUAAAUGUUUGAUCAUGCUCCAAAGGAAUAUGCAACUCCAAAGAAGGUUGUUAAAGUAACUUAUUCUACAUCAUCUGUGGUGACUGGUGGCAUAGAUGGACUUCCACGUGAAGAUAUAAGUGAAAAGAUCACCCCCACAUUGUUAAAUGACUUAUAGAGUCCUGAUUGGAAGGUCCACUUGGAGUCUAUUGAAAAUGUAACCAAAAUUCUAGAAGAGGUGAACUGGAACUGGAGAUCUAUUUGGAGCUCUAUAAGGGCGUCUACACAACAGUUCUAAAAUUUGAUAAGUGCUACUUUGUCCAUAAUUGGUACUUUUGGGACUAUAAUGGGAUAUCCAGUUGAGAAGUCAAGCUAGGUCUGAGCAGGUUAAGGAGCCAAGACCAGAAGCUGUUCCUUUGGCUGUGGGUUCUGUACCCACUUAAGAGUGUAGCUGAUGAAAGCUUCAAAAUGGUGGGAGAGGAAAGAGGCUGUUGCUGAACUAGCCGAACUUGCUUCAACCAAAAAGAUUUCUCUUGGAGAUUUUUUCAGAAAGUUUGUCAUACAUUAAAGAAGGUUAUCACGCAUGUAAAUGUUACUGACGGAAGGAAAAAAAAGGAAAAAAAGAAAAAAACAUUGUUGUUGCAGCUGAAGCUAUUCAAGUGCUGGGCAACCUUCCUAAGAGCAUGAGAACCCUUCCUAAAAAUAGAAAAAAAAGAACAAAAAGAAAAAAAAGGAAAAAAAAUGAAAAAAGCAAAAAAAGAAAAAAAAGGAAAAAAUAAUUGUUGAUGCAAUUCAAGCACUGGGCAACUUUGCUGGGGAUCCGAGAGCCCAUUUUUUGGCCAGUUGUCGCUUCUUAUUUGCCUGUAAACCGCACCUCAGGACCUUGUCGAUCCAGUUGAUAUAUUAAAGCCUACUUAGGAGAAGUCUGGAUUUUGGGAAGCGGUGAAAGCUUCAGAAUGGCGUGAGAGGAAAGAAGUUGUUGCUGAACUUACCGAACUUGCUUCCACCAAAAAGAUUUCUCUUGGAGAUUUUUUCAGAAUGUUUGUCAUACAUUAAAGAAGGUUAUCACGAAUGUAAAUGUUACUGAAGGAAGGAAGAAAAAGGAAAAAACAUUGUUGUUGCAGCUGAAGCUAUUCAAGCGCUGGGCAACCUUCCUAAGGGCCUGAGAACCCUUCUAAAAAAGAGAAAAAAGGAAAAAAAAAGAAAAAAAAGGAAAAAAAAGGGAAAAAGAGAAAAAAAAAUAAUUGCUACUCCAUAUAAAGCUAUUCAAGCAUUGGGCAACAUUGCUAGACUUUUCAGAGCAAGAGCCUUGCUUAUGCAGUUAAGGAAUGUACUCUUCUCAUCAAGGAACUGUUACUCUGGCUUUUGGAUGAUAGGCUUCCGGAGAUGGAUGAUGGAAGUCAAAUUUUAACUGCUUUGAAUGUUCUGAUGUUAAAAAUUUUGAUUGCACGUGCAGGAUAACGCAGAAUAUACGUCAUCAUUUCCUGGGCUUAUAAAUCUGUAAAGACCUCUGGAUCCAUCAAGAUGUCCAUCUUCAGAUCAGAAAUCUUUAAAUGUUUGAUCAUGCUCCAAAGGAAUCUGCAACUCCAAAGAAGGUUGUUAAAGUAACUUAUUCUACAUCAUCUGUGGUGACUGUUGGCAUAGAUGGACUUCCACUUGAAGAUAUAAGUGAAAAGAUCACCCCCACUUUGUUAAAAGACUUAUAGAGUCCUGAUUGGAAGGUCCACUUGGAGUCUAUUGAAAAUGUAACCAAAAUUCUAGAAGAGGUGAACUGGAACUGGAGAUCUAUUUGGAGCUCUAUAAAGGCGUCUACACGACAGUUCUAAAAUUUGAUAAGUGCUACUUUGUCCAUAAUUGGUACUCUUGGGACUAUAAUGGGAUAUCCAGUUGAGAAGUCAAGCUAGGUCCACUUGGAAUCUAUUGAAAACGUAACCAAAACUCUGGAAGAGGAGAACUGUAACGUUGGUGCUUUUCGGACUACAAUGGGACAUCCAGUUGAGAAGUCAAGCUAGCUCAUGUGAAGGCUUGAUCAUUUACACGAAUGUGGCUCGUGCAAGGGAUUCUUUCAGAUUUUUCAGAUGCCUUGGUGACAACAAAAAGCAUAUGCUUGAGUGUACAUUGAGUACCUUAGAUACGUGGCUUGAGUGUACAUCUUGCCAAUGUUGUCAAGUCACCACGUAGCCAAAGGUCGAGCUCCUCAGGACCUUAUCGAUGCAGUUGAUAUAUUUAAGCCGUUGGAGAAGUCUGGAUUUUGGGAAGCGGUGAAAGCUUCAAAAUGGUGUGAGAGGAAAGUGGCUGUUGCUGAACUAACCGAACAUGCAUCAACCAAAAAGAAUGCUCCUGCGGAUUUUUUUCAGAAAGUUAUCUAAUAUUGAAGAAGUUUGUCACAAAUGUAAACAUUAUUGAAGAAAAAAAAAGAAAAAACAUUGUUGUUGCAGCUGAAGCUAUUCAAGCACUAUGCAAUCUUGCUAAGGGCCUGAUAACCCUUCCUACAAAAAAGGCAAGUAAAGGAAAAAAAGGAAAAAGGAAAAAGAAAAAAGAAAAAAAGAAGAAAAAAAGGAAAAAAAGGGAAAAAAUGAAAAAAUUGUUGUUGCAUAUAAAGCUAUUCAAGCACUGGGCAACUUUGCUAGGGAUCCGAGUGCCAUUUUUCGGCCAGUUGCAUCUUAUUGCCUAUAAACCGGUUGUGAAGACUUUUGACUUCCGCCUCACUGGUGCCUUUCAAGAUCUUGUAAAUAUGUCCUGAAUACUAUGAUAUAGACUUUUCAGAACAAGAGGCUUGCUUAUGCAUUUAAGGAGAGUCCUCUCAUAGUCUCAUCACGGAACUGUUACUCUGGCUUUUGGAUGAUAGGGUUCCGGAGAUGGAUGAUGGAAGUCAAAUUUUAACAGCUUUGAAUGUUUUGAUGUUAAAGAUUCUGGAUAACACAGAACGUACAUCAUCAAUUCUUGUGCUUAUAAAUCUGUUAGGAAAUCUGGAUCCAUCAAGACGUCCAUCUUCAGUUCUCUGAUUUGGUUGUUAAAAUGUUUGAUCAAGCUCCAAAGGCAUCUGCAGCUCCAAAGAAGGUUGUUAAAGUAACUUAUUCUACAUCAUCUGUGGUGACUGGUGGCCUGGAUGGACUUCCACGUGAAGAUACUGUUUAAAAGAUCACCCCCACUUUGUUAAAAGGCUUAGUCCACUUGGAAUCUAUUAAAAAUGUAACCAAAUUCUGAAGAGGUGAACUGGAACUGGAGAUCUAUUUGGAGCUCUAAAAGGGCGUCUACACAAUAGUAACAAAAAUUUGAUAAUUGCUACUUUGUCCACAAUUGGUGCUCUUGGGACCACAAUGGGACAGCAGAAAUUAAGCUAGGGCAUUCUUUCAGAUGUUUUGAAAUGCCUUGGCGACAACAGAAAGCAUAUGCGUGAGUUUACAUUGAGUACCUUAGACACUUGGCCUUGUGCUGCCCAUCCCAAUAAAAUGCUAUUCUCACAGGCUAAAGUAGGCGCAGAGGGGCGAAAUUUGAUUGGCUAUCAAGACAACUUGCUGGAUUAGCUGAGUUUCAUGAUGCAAUCAAGCUAAUCAAACCCACUACAUCUGCUAUUACGGAUAAAUCAACAGAUGUUCAUAAAGAGACUGAAGCAUGAUUUAAUGAAAUAUUGAGGGUUUGUGGACAUGAAACGGUAUCCGAAAAUUUGAGAGAUAUACAAGAUUAAGCUUUAGCUGAUAUUAGCAAACGACUGAAGCCAUAUGGAGCUUUUCAUGCUACUUUCCAUUAAAUCACUCAUCUCCUAAUAAAAAAUUUAUAUUGUUUUUCUACUUUUUCACAUCAUUAUGUUGAUUUUUCUUGUGCCACAUAUCCAUUGCAGAAUAAUUAUGAAUCUGGUGAAUUUGUUUCGUCAAGCAUCACGUUGGAAAGCAGCCUAAAGACAGCAAAACCUAAUGGAAAUGGCGACCGCGAAUCUCAACAUGGAAGAAGAAAUGCACCUUCAAGAGUUGUGCCUAACAAGGGAUUCAAGCAAGAAUCUAUCUUGUCUUUUCAAGACAUCAACAUUCAGUCACCACAAGGAUGGCAGAGAAAGAAUUAUUGUUCACAGAUUCAAAUUAGAUGAAUUGCGUGUAGAGGAAAUUCAAGAUCUUGAGAUUUUUAGUAAGGGACUAUGCUUACUUCAAAAAGAAUGAUGUCAUGAAAUACUUUCGAGAGGAUCUGCAUCGGAGGCUCUAAGUGCUGACUUCAAAAAUCAAGUUGAUGGCAUUGAGAUGUUGCAAAAGGCUCUUCCUCCAUGGGAAGGGAGGUGAUUGAAGUCUUAGAUAUACUUUUAAAGUGGUUUGUGUUGAGGUUUUGUGAAUUCAACACAUCAUGCUUAUUAAAGGGAUGAAAGUUGUGUGCCAUGAAUUGGCUUAAGCAACUGCUGACCCCAAGGGCAGCACAAUGGAAGAAAUACAGAAUGAUGCUGAUUAACUAGUUUCAUGCCCGACUUUUUAGAACAAGAGGCUUGCUUAUGGAGAUAAGGAGAGUACUAGUCUCAUCUUACACGAAACUGUUGCUAUGGCUUUUGGAUGAUAGGGUUCCACGGAUGGAUGAUGGAAGUCAACUUUUGAGAGCUUUUAAUGCUCUGAUGUUAAAGGUUCUGGAUAAUGCAUAGCGUAAUUCAUCAUUUGUUGUGCUUAUAAAUCUGUUAAGACCUUUGGAUCCAUUAAGAUGGCCUUCUCCAGCAUCAAAUGAGUCUCUAGCAAUCAGAAACCAGAAAUUCUGCGAUUUGGUUGUUAAAUGUUUGAUCAAGGUCACGAAUGUAUUAUUUCUUGAUCUGUUUUAUUUUGUUUAUUUUUUCUUUUAAUUAUGUAUUGUUAUUAUAUUAUUGAUGUAGUGAAUCUUCCUUCUGUAAGAAUGUUAUGUUGCAUAGUUUGACGACAUUGUUUGAAAGCAUUUGCAUAGUCUUACUUAAUCGAUUGAUAGUUGUUUUAACUUUUGGAGAUCUAUGUAGGUGCUUCACUCUUAGUUUUUGUAUGCCCCCCCUAAUUUAUGGUUUUGCAUCGUGGGUUCAUUGUAGCCCACUUUUUUUGUAAGUCAAUUGGUGUCUUUUGAUCAUUUCAUAGAUGAUCAUUUUUCAAUAUAAUUUUAUCCUUCCUUUGUAUUUCUUGAGGAAUUAUUUUCUGGUUAGUUAAUAUGCUCCUGUUUAAGAUAUUGUUUGUUUUUCUAUUUUCUGGUUAGUUAAUAUACUUAAAUAUUUUAUAGAUUUAGCAACUUAAGUACAUGGUAAUGUUCUGUCUUAGUUAUUAUUUGUCCAUCCAUUAUUUACAAGUUUAUGGAGUCAAGAAAUCUGCUUGUUUUGAAUUUUUCUUUUGCUUUCAAGAUAAACCUUUAUCCAUUCCUUUGCCAUUGUUUGAAGCGAAAUAGUACCUAUGUAGUAGAUUAAUCCUCAUAUCAUGCCUUUUUAUUUUUAUUUUUCUUGAUAUUCUCUUUGCUUCAUCUGGUGAAUAUUUAUAUACUCCUUUAUUUAUUGGGCUUUUCUAAAAAUGCUAGAUAUUACUAUUAUAUACAUGUUGUCUUUGGUUCUUUGAUGUUAGAGUAUUGCGCUUACUGUGAUUCUUUUGUAUGAAUUGCAUUGGCAGAUGGGGCUGCUUAUUCAAAAUUGUUAUCUUGCUACUAAGUUUUUUGUUUCAGCUAUUGUGUCUUUGAAGACCAGAUUGAAUAACAAACGAAUUUGGAUCCAUCUGUUGAGAUGUUGAUCCUUUUACUGUGUUAUUCCUGGCUGGAAUGAGAAAAAUGUUCAGGUGCUGCAUCCAGGAAUUAACUGCAUCUGGUGAACAGGAAUUUACUGUUUUUUGCUUUUCUGGAAGAUGUAAAGGUAUUUCUGCAUUAAACCUGCUUUACUACGAGGUAAAUUCUUUUUGGUGUAAAACUGUCAGUUUUCCCAAUAUAAGUUUGUUAUAUGGAGUAUAUGUUUGUUAAUCAUCAAAUCUUUGAAUGAUUUAAGAGGGCAUCCAUCAAUCUGACUUUAUCUUCUUCUAGGUCCGCUUGGAAUCUACUGAAAGUGUGACCAAAAUUCUGGAAGAGGUGAACAAACGUGUUCUGCUGGAUGGAACUGGAGAUCUAUUUGGAGCUAUAAAAAGGCGUCUACACGACACUAACAAAAAUUUGAUUGUUGCUACUUUAUCCACAAUUGGUGCUCUCUUAUACUAUUAGUUAUUAGUUUAUUAAGAGUCUCUUGCGCUAACUAACUGAGAUUCUCAAUCCCAAUAUUAUAAAUACUUGGGAUCAUUUAACAAAUCCCGAAUUCCUCAAAGCCAAUAGCUUUACAUAUGCGUGAGUGGUCAUUGAGUACCUUAGAUACUUAGCUAUUCUCAUCCCAAUAAAAUGGUCUGUAGUCGAUUGGGAAAAUAGUGUUUUUCCAACUUCUGUUUUGAGUAUUGUUGACCUCAUCUUUUGUUGUGUCUACCACUACCAUGUAUUUCAGCUGUUCUCACAGACGCUAGGAUAAAUCAGCAAAUGUUCGUAAAGCGGCUGAAGCAUACUUUAAUGUAUUGAGGGUUUGUGGACAUAAAACGGUAUCCAAGAAUUUGAGAGAUAUACAAGGUUCUGAUUUAGCUAUUAUUAGCAAACAACUGAAGCCAUAUUGAGCUUUUCAAGAUAAUUAUGAAUCUGGUGGAUAUGUUUUGUUAAGCAUCACGGCAGAAAGCAUCCUAAAGACAGCAAAACCAAACGGUCAUGGUUACCGCGAAUCUUGGCAUGAAAGUAGAAAUGCACCUUCAGAGUUGGCACCUAACAAGGGAUCCAUGCAAGAAUCCAUCUUGUCUAUUCAAGACAUCGAUAUUCAGUCACGAGUUUUGAUCAGCAAGGAUGACAGGGAAAUGAUUAUUGUUUUCCGAUUCAAAUUCGAAGAAUUGCAUAUAGAGCGCAUUCAAGAUCUUCAGUUUUCGUUUUGAGGCUCUUCCUCCAUGGGAAGGGAGGUGAUUGAAGUCUUAGAUAUACUCUUAAUUUGUGUUAAGGUUUUGUGAAUCCAACACAUCAUGCUUAUUAAUGGCUUCUGGAUCUGUUGAAAAAUGAGGGCUACACUAUGACAGAAGCAGAGGCAACCCAUCUUUCUUCCAUGCUUGGUUGAGAAGGUAACUGAUGUAUUAACUGUCUAUGUGAUAUGCUUUUAUUUC